rnacentral:rRNA from 2 species
AGAGUUUGAUCCUGGCUCAGGACGAACGCUGGCGGCGUGCCUAAGACAUGCAAGUCGAGCGGACCACUUCGGUGGUUAGCGGCGGACGGGUGAGUAACACGUGGAUAACCUGCCUUGUGCUCUGGGAUAACAAGCCGAAAGGCUUGCUAAUACCGGGUGAGCUCACGGGCCCGCAUGGGUCCGGGAGAAAAGGCGCUGCAAGGCGCUGGGACAAGAGGGGUCCGCGGCCCAUUAGCUAGUUGGAGGGGUAACGGCUCACCAAGGCGACGAUGCGUAGCCGACCUGAGAGGGUGAUCGGCCACAUUGGAACUGAGACACGGUCCAGACUCCUACGGGAGGCAGCAGUGGGGAAUAUUGCACAAUGGGCGAAAGCCUGAUGCAGCAACGCCGCGUGAGUGAUGAAGGCCUUCGGGUUGUAAAGCUCUGUCUUUGGGGACGAUAAUGACGGUACCCAAGGAGGAAGCCACGGCUAACUACGUGCCAGCAGCCGCGGUAAUACGUAGGUGGCGAGCGUUGUCCGGAUUUACUGGGCGUAAAGGAUGCGUAGGCGGAUAUUUAAGUGAGAUGUGAAAUACCCGGGCUUAACUUGGGUGCUGCAUUUCAAACUGGAUAUCUAGAGUGCGGGAGAGGAGAAUGGAAUUCCUAGUGUAGCGGUGAAAUGCGUAGAGAUUAGGAAGAACACCAGUGGCGAAGGCGAUUCUCUGGACCGUAACUGACGCUGAGGCAUGAAAGCGUGGGUAGCAAACAGGAUUAGAUACCCUGGUAGUCCACGCCGUAAACGAUGAGUACUAGGUGUAGGG